CUUCUUAACAUGACUGUUUUACACAUACAAAACUUUUUUGUAUCAUAAAUUUACCCCCUCAAUUUUGCCAUUUAAGACCGAGAUAACUCAUAUGACAUAACUUUUAUAAAAUAAAUAGUUUUGACCCAAUUUUUCUUCUUUUUAUUAUUUGAAAUUAUACUAUAGGAGCUAUAUUUCAUAUUUGGUCUAAACAUUUUAUCGCUAAAGUUUUCUUUCUAUCACACACAAUUUGUUCUCCCAUUUAUAAUAUACCCAAGUUUUGCCAGUUUUGCACAAGUGGUAGCUUGGAAUCGAUGUCAAUGAUCCACACUUUUUAUUCUAUAUUUGAAAAAAAGAGUGUAAAACUGUUGCAAACUACAAUUUGUCAAUUUUUUUUUCUAAUUUGUCAUUUUUCCCCCUAAUUUGUUAAUUUUUUUUUACUACACCCUACUCUACUUUAAUAUGACCAGUUUUAAGAAAAAUGAAAUUGCCAGAAUUUGUCACCCGGAAAAUAAUUUAUUUUACAAUUCUUGUUUGCACUUCAUUUCCGGAAAAGUUAUCUUAAUGCAUGACAUCUAUAUCUGUCUCACACAAACACUUUUAAGUGGAAUUAAGGAAAUUUUUGUUGGUAAAUUACUUGUGUCAUUUAUGUAGUAAAUAUUGCUUACAAGUGCAGCUAGGUUACAAUCAUGAUUCAUGUAACAAUGAUAAUAUUAUAAUAAAUGUUAAUGUAUUGUUUCUCUUGUUUAAAAUAUUAUACUAAAAGACGCAGGACAUUUAAGUGAAGGUUCACGAAGGGUUAAAAUUGGCCCUGAUUUUUUUAUGUUUUUUAAAUU
rnacentral:lncRNA from 1 species